CACCGCGGUUAUACGAGAGACCCAGGUCGAUGGCUUUCGGCGUAAAGAGUGGUUAAGUAAAUCUCCCAAACUAAAGACGAACGACCCCAAAGCAGUUAUACGCACACGAAGGUGUGAAAACCGACCACGAAAGUGACUUUAAAAAUCUGAACCCACGAAAGCUGAGGAA
rnacentral:rRNA from 1 species